CCCUUAGAUGUUCUGGGCCGCACGCGCGCUACACUGAUGCAUUCAACGAGCCUAUCCUUGACCGACAGGUCCGGGUAAUCUUUGAAUCUGCAUCGUGACGGGGAUAGAUUAUUGCAAUUAUUAAUCUUCAACGAGGAAUGCCUAGUAGGCGCAAGUCAUCAGCUUGCGUCGAUUACGUCCCUGCCCUUUGUACACACCGCCCGUCGCACCUACCGAUUGAAUGGUCCGGUGAAGUCUCCGGACUGAGUACUUUUAGUACUUGGGAAGUUGACUAAACCUUACUAUUUAGAGGAAGGUGAAGUCGUAACA
rnacentral:rRNA from 1 species